GACGUAGGGCGCGAGCGUUGUCCGGAUUUAUUGGGCGUAAAGAGCUCGUAGGCGGUCUGUCGCGUCUGCUGUGAAAACCUGGGCUUAACCCCGGGCCUGCAGUGGGUACGGGCAGACUAGAGUGCGGUAGGGGAGACUGGAAUUCCUGGUGUAGCGGUGGAAUGCGCAGAUAUCAGGAGGAACACCGAUGGCGAAGGCAGGUCACUGG
rnacentral:rRNA from 1 species